CCAAAAUCCACACAAACCAUAUAGAUAUGAACUUACAAAACUCAUACAGGAUGUGUAUGAACUCACACACACCGCCUCCAGAAGGUCUGUGUGUGGGUAUGUGGUAACAAUGGUCUGUGGGUUACUGCCGGCAGCUUUACCUCGUCAUCCACAUAAACCUUUAAUAUGAGACCUUUAAGCUGCAAUCCGGCAUCUGAAGUCACUGCACCCUGUAAUUGACCUUAAAAUACUUUCUGAAGAGGUCGGAGGCAAUGUCAUUGGCCAAAGGCCCAUGCAGUGGCUGCCCUGCCAAAGCCCAGAGGAGCCUGGGAAGGCAUCGGAGAGUAUAUUUAGUGCCCUGUCUUUUGAAUGGGAACAAGAGACGUACAAAAAAUGCCAGUUUAUGCAUAAAACCGCUCGUGUUCUCUUGGAAUUGUCCCAUAUGGAGACACGCUUUCGUUUUUCCCAGGGUGCACCACGUCUGUAGAAUGAAAUUCAUCAAACGUGGCCUUGAGUUAUCAUAAGUCAAGCCUUCAUUUCAAUAGAAGACUAUUCAUUUCUCACGGGCACUGGAGGCAAAGGAAAGUUCCCUCAUAACAAGGAUGCCCUCAUUUGACUGGGUUAUAAUUACGCCUCAAGCGGGACAACAGGAAGAGUGAUGACAGAUAUGAUUUACUUGUAAAGAACUUUCUGAAAUCAUCUGGAAAAGGCCCAAAGGGGAAAAAUUCAAGAACAUCCCAAAGCAGUGCUGCAGGUUUUCCACGCUCCCCGGCGACAGUUUAAGCGGACCGGCACAUCCUUGCCCAGAUGGGCCGAAUACAGCUGUCUGCCCAUCCUUAAAGGACACAGAGUUCAACUCUAUAAUUUGGUUCAGAUGAGACUUUCUUUGGCUCAGGAUGAAAGGGAGGAGAAUGAUUGCGACCAAAAGAGAGAGAAAGAGAGAUGAACACUGGUCUUUUUGAAGGUUACACAACACAUCCUGUUCACCACCAUUACGGCUCUCUUCAAAAUACUCUAACUGUGAUUAUGCUAAAAUCUCAGCUGACAGCUCACAUCAUGUCAUCGUGCAUCAACGUUAAGCAGCUUAAACGCAGUCAUGUUUUACACCUUAUCACUUUGCAAUGCAUCCUUG
ensembl:lncRNA